UGUUGAAAGCUUGCUGGAUAUAUAGCUUAGUGGCGGACGGGUGAGUAACACGUGAGCAACCUGCCUUUCAGAGUGGAAUAACGUUUGGAAACGAACGCUAAUACCGCAUAACGUCAGAGGAUGGCAUCAUUCUUUGACCAAAGAUUUAUCGCUGAAAGAUGGGCUCGCGGCCGAUUAGGUAGUUGGUGAGAUAAUAGCCCACCAAGCCGACGAUCGGUAGCCGGACUGAGAGGUUGAACGGCCACAUUGGGACUGAGACACGGCCCAGACUCCUACGGGAGGCAGCAGUGGGGGAUAUUGCACAAUGGGGGAAACCCUGAUGCAGCGACGCCGCGUGAGGGAAGACGGCCUUCGGGUUGUAAACCUCUGUCUUCGGGGACGAAUAAAUGACGGUACCCGAGGAGGAAGCCACGGCUAACUACGUGCCAGCAGCCGCGGUAAUACGUAGGUGGCAAGCGUUGUCCGGAAUUACUGGGUGUAAAGGGAGCGUAGGCGGGGAGGCAAGUUGAAUGUCUAAACUAUCGGCUCAACUGAUAGUCGCGUUCAAAACUGCCACUCUUGAGCGCAGUAGAGGUAGGCGGAAUUCCUAGUGUAGCGGUGAAAUGCGUAGAUAUUAGGAGGAACACCAGUGGCGAAGGCGGCCUACUGGGCUGUAACUGACGCUGAGGCUCGAAAGCGUGGGUAGCAAACAGGAUUAGAUACCCUGGUAGUCCACGCCGUAAACGAUGAUUACUAGGUGUGGGGGGACUGACCCCUUCCGUGCCGGAGUUAACACAAUAAGUAAUCCACCUGGGGAGUACGGCCGCAAGGCUGAAACUCAAAGGAAUUGACGGGGGCCCG
rnacentral:rRNA from 1 species